GCCUUGCGUCCUGACGUAAAGCGCCGCGCUCAACGCGGUGGCAGGCCCCAGGCGCGGGGAGCGGCGCUAGGCCCGCCCUCCGGCCGCCUUCUGCGCGUGCCCCGAAACGACGAGUAGCUGUAUUCUGUUACCCUGUUCUUUGGAAGAUGGCCUCAGACUGUCCUGUGGUUGGUUUUGUCUUUGCUCUCUUCAAGAGAUCUCUUCAAGAUCUCUCCAGAUGAGACUGAAGAAUUUGAGGGUAUAUCUGGAUUUCUUUAACAGCCACUUGAACUUCCUGCAGUACUUUGUUCCAGAUCCACCACUUGCUCUGAAAGGCAUCAAUCACACACCAGUUCUGAUGCUCCUUCUUAUAUGAAAUUGUUUUAGAGUGAUAACAUGGGAAUCACUGCCUAUGAAGGAACUGGCAUGUCUUGAAAUACCCCGAAACCCAAACAAGACUCUUACCCGGUGGUAUUACACACGUGAUUCAUCAGAGCCACAUCUAGAGCCUGGAUGGCCAGUUCAUCAGGAACCUGUUAUUUUCCUUUGUCAUCAGGAGCCAUAUUGAUGCCUACACUGUUCAUUAGAAGUUUGGACCCUACGAUCUGUAACACAGACGUGGAGGAAAAAGACGGUCAAGAACAUCAUUUUCUUGUACUUGAAUAUAAACCACAAUAUCAGGACAGAGUCCUCGUUCUGACAAAUACUGGGCUUCAUCUAAAGUACGAGGGAAACCAUCCAGUAUAAAUCCUGUGGACCUAAUUGGAAAAUAAAGUAUUUAUCAUUACACAAUAUAGUUUAAAGUGCAACACAGUGGAAAUGCAAUUAAUUUGAAAAAAAUGUUAAACUGUCUUAUUACAUAUAUAUGUUAAGAGUAAACUUAAAAAAUAUUUUAAGGUGUUAUCUUUUGACAAUGUAAAACUGAUACUUCACUAUGUAUUUUAAUUGGUGUACGAGCAAAUGUAUUUCUUCUGAUGUUUUAAUGUGCAGAGAUUAAUUAUUUAAAAAUAACUUUAAAAAACCAAAAUAAAUCGUGUCUUCAGUAUUGCCUGUGUGACUCUAAAAACAGUAGUUCUUAGCCACUGCUCUCAGAAAAAUAGAAGCUGCCCCAAACAUGAUUUUGGUAACAUCUGCCACAGAAAGCUUGUCGCCUGAAAAUUUAUUUUUCAGAAAUUCCUGACAGUUUCUUCUCUAGUAUAGAGAAUGUUACCACUCAGCAUGACCUACAUCUCCCUUUCUGCAGCUAUUAAAAACAGGUCAGAUAUGUCUGGAAAGCCCUAUGGCCUUUUGGAGCUCUUUCUUACAAUCUCAAAUUAGAUAAGUAGUUCUGCAAAGCUGAAUGUUAUGUUAAUAAGAAGUUAAUAUUUCUCUUUAUUACUUUAGACCUUAAUAGGAAAUAUUGUAAAACUGCAGAAAGCCAAAGAAGCUACAAGGAGUGGGAAUGGAUGGAAGAACAGGUGGUCCUGGAUGCUGUACGGAAAAGUUGGGUGGAGGAUAUUGAUCAUGAUAUAUAUUGUGAUGAAGGUUCUCUUCUGCUAUACAGUCCCUGA